CCUUUUCUACUGUUAUAGCGCCACCUAUGGUCUGAUCUCCAUGAAACUUUGCAUGCUUGUUAAGAGUAAUGUGUUACAUGAUUUCACUGAGUUUCAUAAAGUUUUGAGUUUUCGUUUAGGUUUUAUAGGCUUUGGGGUAUGUUUGGCCACACCCCUUUUUCUAUAUUACCGCUUUACAGCUAACCAAAGGACAAAAUUCAACAUUUUUUUAAUAAUUAUUGAUCUACAGAGUCCACAGAAUAUUACUGCAGUGGUUUGGUUCCGAUCGGACAAAAAACCUAGGACUAGUUCGCAAAAGUAGGUUUUUAACAUAUUUGUGAAUAACAAUUGAACGAUUUGAUUGACAGCAAUGGUUCUUGAGGCAAAGUUGUGCAUUACGAGGAGAUCUAUCAAAUGAUAUGCAUAUUGUGUUGAUAUGUGAAACACCACGUGAUUACAGAGCCAUAAAACUCGUUAGCGCCAACUAGUGGCCGAUUUCUUUCAAAAUUCUUACAGACCUUAAGGUUCAUGAGUCGAACGUACCCAGCGAGUUUCGUUCCGAUCAACAUCCGUUAACCCUUUCAAAUAGGUGCUUAAAUUUGUUUGGCCAAUGGCGGCCAUGUUUUUUGAGAUAUGCAAAUGUCCUCAUAAGUACUUGUGCCCCUUCAGACCAAGACACUGCAUACCGAUUUUCAAGUUGAUCGAGCCAACGGUUGCCUAGUUAUAGCAAUUUAUGUGUUUUUUCUAUCUUAUAGCGCCCCCAAGUGGCAGAGAUGCGCAAUUUUUUUGAUUUGACCAAAGAUUGAGCUCAUACAUAUGUGUACCGAGUUUGGUGAAGAUAUCUCAUUCCGUUCAGGAGUUAUAGUCAAAAUAGUAUUUGGCUAACGUUAGCAUAGACGCUUUUUGGCGUACUGUUUCGCGUAAGAAUUGAAAUUUCAACUUUUUUUUAAUAAUUAUUGAUAUUGAGUGUCCAGGGAAUAUUUAUGAAGUGGUUUGGUUCUGAUUGGUUGAAAAUCCUAGGACUAGUUCGCAAAAGUAGGUUUCGGAUAUAGCUCGAUUUUGCGAGAAAACGGUGCGUCGUAGACCCCAAAAAGGCGCCGUGCACUUUUGUUCGGGCUAACCCAAGGAUUGCAACAAUGCCAUGUUUUUGAGUCUACGGCUAACGGUAUACGAUUUACGGCCAAAAAUGUCCAAAAUUUUUGUUUUUUGCGCUGUAGCGCCCCCGUUAGGCCGAUUGGGCUGAGACUUUGAUAAGUUCUCCCCAAAUUGAGUUCUACGAUCUGUCCAAAU